UUCGCGGGAGGGAGGGGAAGGCCUAGGGAAGCAAGCAGCGCCGCCGCCGCAGCUGCAGCCGGAGUUGGAGGAGGGAGAAGCUAGGAAGAAAAUGGCGGCUGUGGCUGCAGAGGCGGCAGCGACUGCAGCGUCCCCCGGGGAGGGGGGCGCCGGCGAGGCCGAGCCGGAGAUGGAGCCCAUCCCCGGCAGCGAGGCCGGCACUGACCCCCUCCCGAUCACCGCUACUGAAGCGUCCGUGCCGGACGGCGAGGCGGACGGGCAGCAGUCCGCUCCUCAGGCCGACGACCCACCGCUCCCGCCUCCGCCGCCGCCGCCAGGGGAACUCGCCCGCAGCCCCGAGGCAGCGGGGCCAGAGCUGGAGGCUGAGGAGAAGCUGCCCGUCCGGGUGGCGGAGCCAGAGGCAGCUGCGCCUCGCGAAGGACCCGACCUUCCACCCUCUCCCCCAGCACAGCCGCCGGAGCGGCCCCGGUCUCCGGACGAGCGCGAGGAGACGCCGCUGUCCCAGCCUGCAGCCCCGGGGCUGCUGCCGCCGGCGGGCGGGGACUCGGCGGUGUCGCAACUGAUUCCGGGCUCAGAGGUGCGGGUCACGCUGGACCACAUCAUUGAGGACGCGCUCGUGGUGUCGUUCCGCCUCGGGGAAAAGCUCUUCUCCGGGGUUCUCAUGGAUCUGUCCAAAAGGUUUGGGCCUCAUGGGAUCCCUGUGACAGUAUUUCCCAAAAGGGAAUAUAAGGAUAGACCGGAAGCCAUGCAGCUCCACAGUAACACAUUCCAGGAAGGGACAGAAGUCAAGUGCGAGGUGAACGGUGCUGUUCCUGCGGGCCCUCUGCCUGUCCCAGCUCCGCAGCUGAGCUUGGCUGGAAGCCUGUGGACUUCCAAACCGCCGCCUCUCUUCCACGAGGGAGCCCCUUACCCUCCCCCUUUGUUCAUCAGGGACACAUAUAACCAAUCAAUACCUCAGCCACCGCCUCGGAAAAUUAAGCGGCCCAAGCGAAAAAUGUACAGGGAAGAACCCACUUCGAUCAUGAAUGCUAUUAAACUACGCCCCAGGCAAGUCCUCUGUGAUAAGUGUAAAAACAGUGUUGUUGCUGAAAAAAAGGAAAUUAGAAAAGGUAGUAGUGCAAGUGAUUCUUCUAAAUACGAGGACAAAAAGCGGAGAAAUGAAAGUGUAACUACUGUGAACAAAAAACUGAAAACUGACCAUAAGGUGGAUGGGAAAAACCAAAAUGAAAGCCAGAAACGGAACGCUGUGGUUAAAGUUUCCAAUCUUGCACACAGCAGAGGCAGAGUAGUCAAGGUGUCUGCUCAGGCAAAUACGUCAAAAGGUCAGUUAAAUGCUAAGAAAGUGCUCCAGAGUAAGAACAUGGACCACGCGAAAGCCCGGGAAGUGUUGAAAAUGGCCAAAGAAAAGGCGCAGAAGAAGCAAAGUGAAAGCUCUACUUCCAAAAACGCACACUCAAAAGUCCACUUCACACGCCGGUAUCAGAGUCCCAGCUCAGGUUCCCUUCCCCCCCGGGUUCGUUUGAAACCGCAGCGGUACAGGAAUGAAGAAAAUGACUCUUCUCUGAAGACGGGACUGGAGAAAAUGCGGAGUGGCAAGCCCCAGGCCCGCUGCACCUCUACCCGCUCAGCAGGUGAGGCCCCUUCCGAAAAUGCCAGGCCCUCGGCCGGCCCCCAAGAGGCCAGCAGGGAGGAGGUUCAGGACACAGAUGAAGUGCAUGUACCUGGUGAGCAGGAGGAGCCACAGCCGCUGGGCAAAAAGGGCAGCAAAAGCAAUCUCUCUGUUUACAUGACCCUAAAUCAAACGAAACCCGACUCUUCCAGUGCCUCCGUGUGUAGCAUUGAUAGCACAGAUGAUCUGAAGUCUUCCAACUCUGAGUGUAGCUCUUCUGAAAGCUUUGAUUUUCCUCCAGGCAGUGUGCAUACACCUUCCACCUCCUCCUCCACCUCCUCUUCAAAGGAAGAGAAAAAGCUCAGUAAUUCCUUGAAAAUGAAAAUCUUUUCCAAAAACGUCUCUAAAUGCGUCACACCAGAUGGCAGGACCAUAUGUGUAGGGGACAUUGUUUGGGCCAAGAUAUAUGGCUUUCCUUGGUGGCCAGCCCGUAUUCUCACUAUAACUGUGAGCCGGAAAGAUAAUGGCCUGUUAGUCCGGCAGGAGGCCCGGAUUUCCUGGUUUGGGUCUCCAACAACGUCCUUCCUUGCUCUUGCACAACUCUCUCCCUUCUUAGAGAACUUCCAGUCACGGUUUAAUAAGAAGAGAAAGGGCCUGUACCGUAAGGCUAUCACAGAGGCGGCCACGGCUGCCAAGCAGCUGACCCCCGAAGUGCGGGCUCUGCUGACACAGUUUGAAACGUGAGCAUGGACAGUAAGCACAAAGACAUUAGCAGGCUGCUGGUUUCAUGGACCCGUACCACAAUGACAGAGAACAUCAGAGCAUCAGGACUGAAUGAAAUUGGAGAUUUUUAAAGCUGCACUAAGAAGUAAACAUUAAGGCAGUUAUUUAAACCGACAGUCUCUGAAGGGGCACUGGCAGACUGUGCUGUGUUAAGCUGAGAAAAGGUUAAUUAGGGACUAUUUUGUAACAAACUAUUGCAAUAAAUAAUGCAUGAGAUGAGAAAAGUUAUGUGAAAUACACAUACAAGAACUCACUUGAAUUUUAUGUAUGAAGAAUGUGAAGUUCCUAUUAGUACAAUGUGGAAAGGCCUAAAAGGCAUGGGAUGACGUGGAAAUGUUUUAAGUAUUUUUCAUACUUAAAUUGUGUGCUUUCUCCAAGGUUUGUCAGUUUAGAUUUGAGCAAAGGUAUUUCUGAAAUGCUUGCCUUUGAAUCAGCAAUAGUCAUGUGCUAAGGCCAAUGUUUCCUUCACGGUGCCAGGACACACAGGCAGGAUUUACCAUCCUGCAGCAAGGAUGGCCAAGUGCCCCAGCCCCUCAAACCACCCCACCAACACAAUGUGGAUCUUUUCUUGGAUAAAGCAGGGCUGUAUUUUGAAUAUAUGUUUGCUUGUUAGAGCAUAUUAAGAUAUAUUUAUUUGCCACUAGUAUUUAACAUUUUGUGCACAUUUGCAUUAUUACAUUCUCAUCUUUUCUCUUGACUCAAAGUGGAUAGGCCAAUGAUCUUGGAGUAAAAAUGAAUACUCCAAGAACUACUGAGCUGGGAAAGUUGUAUUAUUGUUUCUCCCCUUACUGACUGAGCUUGUUCAGAAAGUGUGACAACGUCUGAGUUUUGAUGUGGAUUGCUUCCCAUACAGCCCUUCUUCUGAAGGGAUUCUCGAAGGUUUCCGGAAGGAUGUGGCCCACUAGGGUGAGUAGCAGGAAUAGAUCCACAGGGUGGUGUCACACUUUUUGUGCAUGAAACAAAUUCCUAGAGACCAUACUUUUUUUUUUUUUUUUUACAUUUGGUAAAUACAUAUUAUGGAAUGUUUUGUUUUUGGAAUGAAUGGAGAAAACAUGAGAAAAAUCAGAUGGACUUGUUAGUACAUUUUUAAGGCUUUUUUAUAUUUGAUGGUGCUGUACUUUUAAUAAAAAAAAAAAAACAGGUUUUUUAGUGGCAAUACUGAUUUAUUUUUUAAACCAGAAAGAUAAUCCAUAUUCAUUACUUAUUACAAAACAAGAAAAAUGCCAAAAAUAAAGCUCACAGAAUUCAUUUGAAAUAAUAGAUCACUGAGCGUGUGGCUCAAGUGUUCAAACUUUCCAUCCUAUUGCUGUGUAAGUUUGGAAUUACCUAAUAAAAGCCUCGUGCUCAGAGCUCACACAAGGUUCUGGGCGGGAGUUUUAGAGCAUUUUGUGUAUUUGAGUAUAAUUCGUUCUACCACUCAAGAAAGGCAGGCAGUCUUUAUCUAAUGAGCUUAAUGCAAAUCCUAAUGACACAGCAAGGAGUUUAAAGUUUUGACUACAUUGCAAAUUUAUCUUUUUGGGAAGUCCAUAGCAUGGAAUAAUUUUUAUCAUAUUGGAAAAAAAAGCUCAGGAACUGUAGCAGCGGGGAGUGCUAAAAUGACAUAUCCUACAGGUGUGCCCCACUCGGCCCAGGGCUUCGGCUUGGCCGGCCCUGUUCCUCCAGAUUUACAACACCAGCAGCAUCUUUAAGGCUCACUUCAAGAACCAGGUAACUCCCAAGCCAUGGUGGACUUAACA